UACGAAGGGGGCUAGCGUUGUUCGGAUUUACUGGGCGUAAAGCGCACGUAGGCGGAUCGUUAAGUCGGGGGUGAAAUCCUGGAGCUCAACUCCAGAACUGCCUUCGAUACUGGCGAUCUUGAGUCCGGAAGAGGUGAGUGGAAUUCCUAGUGUAGAGGGUGAAAUUCGUAGAUAUUCGGAAGAACACCAGUGGCGAAGGCGGCUCACUGGACCGGUAUUGACGCUGAGGUGCGAAAGCGUGGGGAGCAACAGG
rnacentral:rRNA from 1 species